rnacentral:lncRNA from 1 species
CAGGUCCCAAAACCUGCCUGAUGUUUAAAGUUUUCAAACAGAAAAAAGAAACAGAUGCUGAAGUUUAUGAAGCUGUAGAAUCUGCUUUAUUCUUGUAACACCUCUUGAAAAUAAACAAGCAUGAAAAAAUACAGAUUACAUUGCUCAUUAGCUAUUUAUGUUGCACCAUCAUCAAUCACCUGGUAUAAUGCAAGCCAACAGCAUCCAUUCUACAUGGAUCCAUUAUAGAGUGAAUAUUUCUCCUUCAAAAAAAUUCCAGUGCUCAAGCAUGUUUGUAUACUUUCACUCUUUCCUUGUCCCCAGUGCUUUGAUUGCAGUAAGAAUCCUAAAAUACUUUUGUUCUUGUUGUCCUGCACCUAUUCCUGGUCUUCACUGACAAAAAUUACAGAAAAACCCAUGUGAUAUAAAUCAUACUGUAGUGCCUUCCAGUUUUAUUUAGUUCCUAAGUCAACCAUGCUCAUGCUUUUAGUUAUCCCCAGCACUAGAUGCCAUGUUUAACAGUGCAAGGGCCACAUGCUUUUGUGCUUACUUUAUUUCCUUUUCUGCCCAAGUUCUAAAGCAGUCAACAGCACUUUAAAUAUGGAUUUAUGACUGCUCACGUACCCCUGAACUGCAGGGGAGGGAGGAUAAAAGUGUUACUGACCACAGUGGGGUCCAUUCCUUUUUGCAGGAAAGGGCUGUUUAGCAGAGGGGGGGAAGAUGAACCUGGUGCCAGCUGGUUUUGCACUGGCCAAGUCCUGCCAUCAAAACUACAGGACACAGAGGCCGUGCUAACUUCACUCUGCAGCAGGGUCAAGGAAUUUCUGUGGUGUGAAGGAUUUCCCUGUGGGUGCAGAGCAGGCAUGAAGGGUCCUCUGGAGCUGAUUUGGCACAAUUUCCAUUCCAGGUUAAUUAGCCACCAUCAGUGGAGAGUUUAUGCAGGAAAAAGGAUUUCCCUCUGUUGGGCUGCUCCCCAGCUAAGGAGGCCUGGUCUGUGGCCAGAAGUACUUUGCCUUUAA